UAUGUAGGGUGCAAGCGUUGUCCGGAAUUAUUGGGCGUAAAGAGCUCGUAGGCGGUCUGUUGCGUCGGCUGUGAAAACCCGGGGCUCAACCCCGGGCCUGCAGCCGAUACGGGCAGACUAGAGUUCGGCAGGGGAGACUGGAAUUCCUGGUGUAGCGGUGAAAUGCGCAGAUAUCAGGAGGAACACCGGUGGCGAAGGCGGGUCUCUGGGCCGAUACUGACGCUGAGGAGCGAAAGCGUGGGGGAGCGAACAGG
rnacentral:rRNA from 1 species